GUGAUAAAAGGUACAGCACAGGGACCCUAAUGAAUGGAACUGUAAUAGCAGUGUAUGGUGAUAGGUGGUAGCUAACCUUGUGGUGAGCAUAUCAUAACACAGACUUGUCAAAUCACUAUGUGGUACACCUGAAAUUAAUGUAACAUUGUGUGUCAACUAUCCUUCAAAAAAAAAAAAAAGGGGAGGAUGAAUGAAACAGAAACCAGGACAGGGACCAUCCCAAGGUGGAGAUUAUAGUCCCUUCAUGACCAACCCUCCAAAGAUGCAAAGAGGUGUAUAGGGUUGGGGAUAGAGGGGACUUGUUGCUCUAGGCCAGGCACAGGACUCUCCCUAAACACUGUAUUCCUGCUGCUGCGAACAGCAAUGGCAUAAUUCUUUUGCAGAAAACUUCCUCUGUUUGCUUAUGUCCUUAAUGGGAUUCAAAUACCAAACAAAUUAGCAACAAUGUUGUUUGGAGCAAUGUCUAUCCACACCUAAGGUCAUACUUAAACUUGCUUCAACUGACCUUUUCCCGACUGUGGUCCAAAUGAGAAAGUCAGCCAAGGAGGAAAAUAAAGUGACUUCAUGAAAGAUUAUGGACACAUUUACUAAAGGAAACAGGAUAUUUUCUAGGGUCAAUAGAAGCACUUUAUAAGCUGCAAAGAGUGAGUGAAGAGGCCAGGGUGGAAAAUCUGAUUCCACCCCAAAUCUAACUGUCAAAGUAACUGGAGAAUAGGGACAGGAGGGGGGUCAAGACUGGAUGGUUUCAUUGAUAUUCCCCUUCCUUCUGGAGUCCUCAUUAAAGUGGAAUUUAACUAGAGGAUACUGAAGCAACCAGAGCUACAUCUGCCCUGAGAAUGAGAGAGUUAACAGUUCUUUCAAGGCUGCAGAGAAGGCAAGACUACAGGGGAAAACAGUCACCUGUCCUCCUGAAGGUAGCUCUACAGUGAAGUGUAAGCAGUUUAGGCCAGGUUUGUACCAGAAUGUCCUGGGAAGCCUCCUGCACACCAAGGAAGGAUACAUGAAGGGUAGAAGAGCUCCUCUGAUAACGCACAGAGGUUAACUGGUUAGGCUCUGCAGUUCAACUCCUUGUGUUUGUAUACCAAUUCUACCACUAAUGAGCUGUGUGACCUUGUAUAAAUUUAUUAACUUCUCUGGGCCUCAGAUUCCUCAACUAUAAAAUGGAGAUUUUCCUGUACUUCAUAAGGUUGUUAUGACAAGUAAAUGCCUGGCACAAAGGAAGCCCUCAAUAAAUGUCUUAGUAAGCAUCUUGUUAAACCACGCGUAGGUCCAUCCUGUUUUACCUAGAGUCAGGGGCAUGGACUGAACGCCUCCAAGAGUAAGGUCUGAAGUCACCCUUGACCCUGAGGCUCAAGCGGCUCUCCUUGCUACUCAACAUUGCAGCCAGGAAAGAUAAAAACAAGGUCUGUUUUUGCUUUCACGGUGGGGCCAUUGUGGUGGUCUCUGGAAAACAGUUUUUCUGACAGCAAAGAUUCCUAAAGACCAUCUUAAGACAAGAGAUACAAAUAACACUCAGGUUUUAUUGUGCAGUUGUAUCCGCUUUAACAAUAGAAGGGAGAUACUGAACCCAGGAUCAAGGAUGCAACGGGGCAACUUCUUUGUGAAUCUGGUGCCGGGGGCAGCAUUCUGAUGUGUCACAGGCUCUGCUACACAGGAGGAGACUUUGGUUUUGAGUUGUUGAAUGUUCUGGAGGAUAGAGUUUAAACUAACCCCACAUAAUAAUGUGUCUUGAGAGAACAGGAUUCAAAUGUACUUUGAAACUCAUUAAAAUGUAGGCAAUGGCUAUUUUUUCCUCUUUCAAAAUCUGUCUGAUUUCAGAGGAAGAGGACUAGUUAUACAAAUAGACCAAUUAGUCUAAUUAGAUUUUCUUCCAGGAGGGAGAAAACACUGUAUUUUCUCCUAAUAAUUGGAUUUGGCUGUUGGACAAACAAAAUGACCUUCUCCUUUCAUUCAAUUUCAGACCAAAGAGGCAGAAAGGGUUAAUUCUGGCAAGUCGUGGGGAAGGAAACCAUGCCACAGGACAUUCCCAUCAAUAUUCCAGGGAGAUGCUCCUAAAUGGGAAGAAGGCAUUUUAAGGCUCUACAGACAAUGCUGGGGAGGGAGUGCAGAGAAAGAACACAGGACACAGAAUAGGAUUCACAGCUAUGUUGGCCAACCCCACCAUAGGUGCAUAGCUGAUGGCCACCGUGGGGGUGACAAAGUGAAUGCCGGUGUGUGUAUGUUGCAGUCAUAUGUCUGUCUGUUGCCACUGUUAUAGGCAGAAUCUAACCUGGUUAUGAAGAUUACUCAUCAACCACCCUUGUAGCCCUUCAUGCCAGCUGCAGUGGUAAGGCACAGACCUGGGAAUGACCUAACCCAGGAGCACCAUCCAGCCCAGAGCAGUGAAACAAGUGCUAACAGAAACCCACAACGGUCUGGAGAACCGACCUUUGAUUGCCCAAGAGAGCUUGUGACUAACAUCCCAGAGACAGAUUCCAGAGGGAGGAGAAGAAGAAUCCUGAAAUGAAGCUGCCAGUACCUGCUGGAGUCCUGUCUCAGGGAUGACCUAGGAGGACCAGGUCAGCACCCCAGGAAACUCUGUGGCUCUGAACACACUCUCGAGUACAUGCUAUUCCAGGCAUUAGUCCUUCUAGACAAGUCCUGAGAUACCAAGAGAUACCAGAAAUGAAAAUGUGCCCUGCUUAGUGACUGCCUGUUCAUGUUUGGCUUACAGAGGCAUCAUGGGGACUCGAGUGGGACAAGCUGGAAUGCUGGUAUUACCUGGUACACUGUCCGGUCAGUUAGUCAAGGGGCAAGAAAACUUUUCCUGAGCCAGAAAGCAGAGCUUCGAGACUCAGCUUUGUCACCUUGCUGGGUCUCAGUUUCUUCACCUGUAAAUGAUGGGAUGGUACUGGAUGACAUGCCUUCCCCACUUCUCCGACCGGGCAGUCAAUCACUAAGAACUGACAAUUACACCUCCUGAUUGUAUUCAAAGCCAGACACCUUCUCUCCACCACACUGCAUGGCCUCCAUUCAGCCCCAUCAUUUCCCACCUGCAUCGCUGCAUCUCCUAACCGGUCUCACUACCUUCACUCUCCUCCCCUCUUUAUGCUGGGCCAGUUGUUUUCCUGAAAUUCAAUUCUUGAAUGUUUGACCCUUUAAGAGGCCCUGCCCAACUUUAUCGGCCAUAAGGCUCUACGGUGGGGUCUCUGUCUGCCCUGCAGCCUUAUUUUCUCCCCCAGCGCUCUCCCCUGCUUCACAUCCUCACGCACUCCAGGCACCCAACGCCGAGAGGUGGACCUCUCUCCCACCCGCGUAUAUGCUGUUGUGCCCUUGGAUGGGCACUCACUCAUAAACCGCUACUGGCCUGCAAUGAAGCAGAAAAUGAUUGAAUCACAGUGAAUAAAUGGGGGAAGAAGAAAAAUUAAGAGUAAGCGCUUAGAAACUUUUAUAACUACCUGACAGCAAUUUUAUGUCUGUUGAAUCUAAUAAUAAAAAUCUGGGCUCCUA